rnacentral:rRNA from 1 species
AGGGGAUCGUAAGACCUUGCGCUUUUGGAGCGGCCGAUGUCUGAUUAGCUAGUUGGUGGGGUAAUGGCCUACCAAAGCUUCGAUCAGUAGCUGGUCUGAGAGGACGGCCAGCCACACUGGGACUGAGACACGGCCCAGACUCCUACGGGAGGCAGCAGUGGGGAAUUUUGGACAAUGGGCGCAAGCCUGAUCCAGCCAUGCCGCGUGAGUGAAGAAGGCCUUCGGGUUGUAAAGCUCUUUCAGCCGGGAAGAAAAGGCUGCGACUAAUAAUCGCAGUUCAUGACGGUACCGGAAGAAGAAGCACCGGCUAACUACGUGCCAGCAGCCGCGGUAAUACGUAGGGUGCGAGCGUUAAUCGGAAUUACUGGGCGUAAAGGGUGCGCAGGCGGUUUUGUAAGUCAGAUGUGA